GGUAUGUAAAGCUCUAUCAGCAGGGGAGAUAAUGACGGUACCUGACUAAGAAGCACCGGCUAAAUACGUGCCAGCAGCCGCGGUAAUACGUAUGGUGCAAGCGUUAUCCGGAUUUACUGGGUGUAAAGGGAGCGCAGGCGGUGCGGCAAGUCUGAUGUGAAAGCCCGGGGCUCAACCCCGGUACUGCAUUGGAAACUGUCGUACUAGAGUGUCGGAGGGGUAAGCGGAAUUCCUAGUGUAGCGGUGAAAUGCGUAGAUAUUAGGAGGAACACCAGUGGCGAAGGCGGCUUACUGGACGAUAACUGACGCUGAGGCUCGAAAGCGUGGGGAGCAAACAGGAUUAGAUACCCUGGUAGUCCACGCCGUAAA
rnacentral:rRNA from 1 species